GGAGUUUGGUCCGUGUCUCAGUACCAAUGUGGGGGACCUUCCUCUCAGAACCCCUACUGAUCGUCGGCUAGGUGGGCCGUUGCCCCGCCUACAACCUAAUCAGACGCAUCCCCAUCCCUCAGCGAUGAAUCUUUGCUCCUUCUUAGAUGCCCGCAAAGGAGAACAUAGGGCAUUAAUCCGACUUUCGCCGGGCUGUUCCCUACUGGGGGAAGGUUGGAUACGCGUUACUCACCCGUGCGCCGGUCGCCAUCAAAGUCAGCAAGCUGACUUCAUGCUGCCCCUCGACUUGCAUGUGUUAAGCCUGUAGCUAGCGUUCAUC
rnacentral:rRNA from 1 species